rnacentral:RNase_P_RNA from 1 species
UAAACGAAGAGGAAAGUCCGAGCUGCAAAAGACAGGGAUUUCAUCUAACAGAUGACUAGGGCGACCUAAGGGAAAGUGCAACAGAAAGCAAACUGCCGUGAGUGCGAGCUUGCGGCAAAGGUGAAACGGCGGGGUAAAAGCCCACCAGCGAUUUUGGCAACAAAUUCGGCUCUGCAAACCCAAUCCGCAGCAAGAAGGGGUGGUUGGUGUCUUUGUUUUAACCCUUCGCUUGAUUUUGUUUGCGAAAACAAAGCUAGAUAAAUGAGCAUUCACGACAGAACUCGGCUUAUCGCUAUGCUUU